rnacentral:misc_RNA from 1 species
AGCAGCCGCGGUAAUUCCAGCUCCAAUAGCGUAUAUUAAAGUUGUUGCAGUUAAAAAGCUCGUAGUUGAAUUUCGAGACCGGUCUACUGGUCGUGCUUUUGUACGUACUGGUUUUAUCGGUUUCUCCUUUCUGACGAACUAUAAUGCCAUUAAUUUGGUGUUAUGGGGAAUCAGGACUGUUACUUUGAAAAAUUAGAGUGUUUAAAGCAGGCUCACGCUUGAAUACAUUAGCAUGGAAUAACGGAAUAGGACGUUUGAUUCUAUUUUGUUGGUUUCUAGGAUCGACGUAAUGAUUAAUAGGGAUAGUUGGGGGCAUUAGUAUUCAAUUGUCAGAGGUGAAAUUCUUGGAUUUAUUGAAGACUAACUACUGCGAAAGCAUUUGCCAAGGAUGUUUUCAUUAAUCAAGAACGGAAGUUAGGGGAUCGAAGACGAUCAGAUACCGUCGUAGUCUUAACCAUAAACUAUGCCGACUAGGGAUCGGAUGAUGUUAAUUUUUAAUGACUCAUUCGGCGCCUUACGG